GGAUCAUUACUGAGUUGCAAAACUCCAAACCCAUGUGAACAUACCUCGUGUUGCCUCGGCGGCGAGCGAAGUGCUCGGGAGGUGCCUACCCGGUACCUACCCUGGAGCUACCCUGGAGCUACCUACCCGGUAGCUGCGAGGUACCUACCCUGUAGGACUGCCGCAUCCGCCGGAGGACCACCUAAACUCUUGUUUCUGUGUGGCACGUCUGAGUAAUUAUAUUUAAUAAGUCAAAACUUUCAACAACGGAUCUCUUGGUUCUGGCAUCGAUGAAGAACGCAGCGAAAUGCGAUAAGUAAUGUGAAUUGCAGAAUUCAGUGAAUCAUCGAAUCUUUGAACGCACAUUGCGCCCAUUAGUAUUCUAGUGGGCAUGCCUGUUCGAGCGUCAUUAAGUCCAUUAAGCCUAGCUGCUUAGCGUUGGGAGUAUUACCGUACGGUAACUCCUCAAAGUCAGUGGCAGGGUCGCAGUUGCACUCUUAGCGUAGUAGAUUUAUUACCGCUUAUUGUUGCGCUGUGGCCGUCGCCAUAAGCCUAUACUUCUUAGUUGGUUGACCUCGGAUCAGGUAGGAAUACCCGCUGAACUUAAGCAUAUCAAUAAGCGGAGGAAAAGAAACCAACAGGGAUUGCCUCAGUAACGGCGAGUGAAGCGGCAACAGCUCAAAUUUGAAAUCUGGCCCCAGGCCCGAAUUGUAAUUUGUAGAGGAUGCUUUUGGUGCGGUACCUUCCGAGUUCCCUGGAACGGGACGCCUUAGAGGGUGAGAGCCCCGUACGGUUGGAUGCCUAGCCUCUGUAAAGCUCCUUCGACGAGUCGAGUAGUUUGGGAAUGCUGCUCUAAAUGGGAGGUAAAUUUCUUCUAAAGCUAAAUACCGGCCAGAGACCGAUAGCGCACAAGUAGAGUGAUCGAAAGAUGAAAAGCACUUUGAAAAGAGGGUUAAAUAGUACGUGAAAUUGUUGAAAGGGAAGCGCUUAUGACCAGACUUUUGCCUUGCGGAUCAUCCGGUGUUCUCACCGGUGCACUUCGCUUGGUUCAGGCCAGCGUCGAUUUUGGUAGGGGGAUAAAGGCUGGGGAAACGUAGCUCUUCCGGGAGUGUUAUAGUCCCCUGCGUAAUACCCUUACCGGGAUCGAGGU
rnacentral:rRNA from 1 species